AUAGAUAGAUAGAUACAGGGUUCCCACGCGUCCUGGAAAACCUGGAAAACCUGGAAAAUGAUAGUCCAAUUUUGCAGUCAUGGAAAACACAUGGAAAAUGGGGGGAAUUGCAAAAUGUCCUGGAAAUUUUUGAGUUGUCCUGGAAAAUAAUUUUCCCUCCUUGUGGAUAAACAAACGGAUUAUUGGGCAAUAUUGGGCUGCAGCGCUUCUCCUUUCAUUUCUGCAUCUAGCUGGCACAGUGCCCCACAUGAUGCUUCCAACCAAUCAGAUUGCAUAUUCCCCUUCCGUUCCAGUUCCACUUCUGUUUUUCUAACUGUCUUUUUUGCUAGAUUUACAGAUUUUUCACCCCUAGAUUUAUUUCCCCAAAGAAGGGCCAAAAGUAGUGACUCGGUUCACGAGUAUUGCUUUAUUGCAGUUUAUAGAGUGAGAGGUUUUUCUCCUUCUCUCUGUUGAGUGACAAAGGAGCAGCGGAGAGCUUUUGUUUUUUUCACUCUGCAUUGAGACGAGCGAACCUGACGAGAGCUUCAGGAUAGCAACGGAUAGCAGGAGGAAAAUGCCGGCUGUUGUGCAGCCCAGUGCAGAUGGCACGGCUGACCACCAUGGAGGGAAGGGAGGAAGAGUCAAAAGAGGAGGAAAAACAGACACACUCUUACCCCUGGCAGUGUUUUCUGUUCAUGGAGGGCAUUCUGGGCCUUGAUGGCUGACUCACGGGCGCAGUAGGAAAAAAAGAAUGAGAAGGAAGGAAGGCACUGCAGCAAGGACUUUACUUUACUGCACAAAAUGUCACCAAUCAGCAGCGUGAGUGGAGACGAGGUGACAGAAAUGAAAUCUACAGCCAUGUUGGUUUCCUCACUACGAAUCUUCGUGGCAGCUGGAGAAGCAAAAGAAACAAGCGUGUGCACAAAGGGAAAUGGAGCGUACUGGAAGAGAGUGAACCAAACCAAAUGAAAAGAGGUGAUUUGAUUAAAGGGGAACAUGAUCUUACGUCUUCAUGGCUCUACCCAGGUGAGCCCAUUUAACUCAGACCAUGAUUUCGCUGAAGGAGUUUCUGCUUGCGCCAUCACGGGAAGCACUUGAGGCCUACCACAAGUGCGAUCUGGUGGAGGUGGCUGCGCACCUUGAUCUCCGUGGUAGCAGCAGAAUGGCAAAGAAGGAAUGAAAAGAAAUUGUAAUGUUCACUUUAAAAAGUAAGAAUAUGGUGCUCGAUAAGGAGACUGGGGACUAUCCCGUCCGUAACCCGCGUGCUGAUGGCUACUCAGGAGAUGAUGACGGAGCCUGACCAUCCACAAUGUGUCCAGAGGAAAUGGCUCACAGUUUCCAGACACUGCCAGCUGAAAGUAAGACUCCUCUUUCACCAUUGACUUUGCCUAAAUAUGAUCCUGUUUCACCAGCACCUACUCCGAGUUCGCCGGAGCGCCUGAGACUACAAGUCCAUUUGGCUUGGUUGAAGUACGAGGCAGAGGAGAAGGAAGAGCGCCAACAGAUAGAAAUGGAGCUGGAGAUCCACCGAAUGGAUCUGGAGGCGGACACCAAGAUUAAGCUAAGGCGACUUGAACUGGAGAGCCAGGCUUGGAGACAACAGGAGGUCUCUAAAGGAACUGUGCAGACUAUGGAGCCACACAAGGAGAAAAGGUCGGAGGAGGAAACUACCCCUGGAGAGCGACAAAAGCUGGACAUCAGUAAAUGCAUUGUGCUUGUGCCACCGUUUCGGGAGGCUGAGGUGGACAGCUACUUCCUGGGUUUUGAAUAAUAAUGGUAAUAACUGCUGAACCGGUUGUCCCGCCUUUACACAGAAUAUACUUGUCAUGUGAUUUAGCUCAAGGUUAUUUUGAUGUGGCUGUAUGUCCGUCUUUGCCUGUUGCUGGAGUUACUCUUCUGCUUGGGAAUGAUGUGGCUGGACGAAAUGUAGUCCCUCCGUUACAAGUCGUAAGUCACCCGGUUAUUUUCUGCAUGAUGAUGUGUUAAUGCGGUUUUGGAACAAUCCUGCUGCCAAAGGAGCACCUUGGGGUACUGUAAAUCAAAUAGUGAGUCAUUUUAGGUACUGAAAUAAAGUUAUGGGUUUAGCUCAUGAAAGUCAGUGGGCAGGACAUUUAGGCAUUAGAAAAACUUACAAAAACAUCUUAGAACAUUUCUUCUGGCCCGGGAUGAAGCGGGAUAUUGCUGAAUAUUGUAAGUGUUGCCAUAUCUGUCAGAUUUCCGGGAAACCAAAUCAGCUGCCAGCCCCAGCACCUCUUCAUCUAAUUCCUGUAGUCGGGAAUCAUUUUGAUACUGUUGUGGUAGAUUGUGUAGGCCCAUUGCCCAGAAGUAAAUCUGGUAAGAGGUAUCAAUUAACCAUUAUGUGCACCUCUACCCAUUUUCCAGAAGCCAUUCCACUAUCUUCAAUAACAGCAAAUGCAGUCACCCGCGCUUUAACCCACUAUUUUUCAUUGUUCGGUUUGCCACGAGUUCUACAAACAGACCAAGGAUCCAACUUCAAGUCAAUCAAUCAAUCAAUCAAUCAAUCAAUCAAUCAAUCAAUCAAUCAUCAAUCAACCAAUCAAUCAAAUAUACUUUAUUAAUCCCAGAGGGAAAUUAGAGUUUCAGUACACACAAUUCAGAGAUCAGACAUACAUGGGCAAGACACAUGACAAGAAUUGGUGACUGUGGUCAUUCGCAACCCUGAGUAGCGCUACCUUCAUAGAGAUAAGAGGGUUACAUGAGGGUUGGUUCAGGUGGAGGGGAAAAAAGGUACUUCAGAGCUACCCUCCACCGAGAGUGCAGCUUUGCUCUGCAAAAAACCCCACCUCAGACAGAUAUGCAACAGACUUCAGACAACACAACAUAAGUGUCCACUAGGUCGGGUGGUGGGUUUGGGACUAUCCCCACUUCAGUUCCUGCAGCCACGAUAAGCAGUGCAUGUCACCUCAGUGUGGAUAGGGGGAGGAGCAUUGAGGGUUGGAGGGUUGCAGUGACCCUGGAACGUUUCAGCGACCUUUCCGCAGUCCUGCCCAGGCUGGGAUAGGAGACAGAGUUGAGUUGCCAUAGCGACGGCACAUUCCACAUAUCUUCUGAGGGGGGAGUUUUCGUUGGAGCCUUGCAGGCUUAAGGGCGCCAGAUUCCGAUUACAAAUAGUUUUGUGGCCAGACAGAGAUAAUUUCCUCUCUGUCUUACAGUUUGUUGGUCCUCAACCUCUCAAAAUCCCAAUAAUGGACAUUAAUCUAUCCCAAUCCAUGCUGAUUCAUCAACUCUGUCCUUGAUGGCAUCCAUCUUUUGUGCCAAUAAUGAAUCUCGGCCAAAGUUCCAAGCUUACGGUUCAUCUUGACAAUUAUGUGAGUCUGUGAAUUCACAGCGCAGUGCAAACCAUCUCUGAGCUCCGGGAUCAGGUCAAUAUUCCUCGACAGCUUGUUAAUUUUCCAGUAAGCCAGGUAGCCUCCAAGGCCAAUGAGCAGGAAACCUGACCAACACCACAAAUAUCCACAUGUCUUCAGAGACCUCCACAGACAGCUGAGAUAAACAAAUCAAAUUCCACCGUUUCCAGGAGUCCAUGAUGUGUCCAACUGGGUCUGUCGCAGAGGUGCAUCGGGGAGCCCCUUCUCCCAUUCUCAUUGUUGAAAAAAUGUUAUCAAUCGCGUUGACAGACCAACUGACGAGAUCCAUUUGAGUGAAUUUCAGUUUCCAGUUUCCAGAAAAAAUGCAGAAGCAGCCGUGCACCCAGCACACACAGACAGGUAAAGGGCCUUGAGGAUAAGAUAUGGAGGAGGGGAGGAAAAAAGUGUCUGCACCCUCCAAGAGCCGGAAAAAGCUUGUUUGGAAGUCGGAGCUGUUUAAGAAAGUGUCACAAAUGCUGGGUGUCCAUCACAUAAUGUCUGCCGCUUACCAUCCGGAUUGCAAAGGUGCAUUAGAACGCUGGCACCAAACCUUCAAAAGCAUGUUAAAGAAAUACUGUUUAAGUUCAGGUCAUCAGUGGGAUGAGGGCAUUCCCUUUUUACUAUUUGCAGCCAGAGAGGGCCCCCAAGAAUCUUUGGGGUUUAGCCCUGCUUCGGUCACACCCCACGGGGUCCCCUAAAAGCUCUAAAAGAACAGUUCCUGAGGAUCCCAGAAUCCAAAAAGGAGAAAGUGAAUCAAUACAUUAAGAUAUUUCAGUGGCGCAUCAAGCAAGCAAAUCAGCAGGCUCAGGAGCACUUGAGUGAAACCCAAAAGGAAAUGAAAACACGUUUUAAUCGUAAAGCAGUGGCCGGGGAGCUUCACCCCGGUAAUCAAAUUCUAACGUUGAGUCCUUUUGUUGGAACUAACCUUUCAUCUCAGUUUGACGGUCCUUUUGAUGUUUUAAGAAAAAUCAACAAGACUACUUAUAGUAUUUCCACUCCUCAUCAUUGCCUUAAGUCCCGGGCUUGUCAUAUUAACAUGCUGAAGCUUUACCAUCCCCCUCAGGCAUCAACCACCAAGGUUUCUGAAGCUGUGGCGUGCGCAGCCGCAUCCUUCACUCCUAUCCUUGAGGAGGACAUUCAACUAAAGCUAAAACCAGGUAAUUGCCCCUGGCUAACAAAUUAUCUAUCUUUAGUACAGCUACCAGACACCCUGGACCAUUUGAACACCAAAGUUAAAAACGAACUGUUAGGUUUAGUACAAGAGUAUCCCUGUCUCUUUUCAGAUGUGCCAUCUCAGACCACUGUAGCUACUCAUGGCGUUGUUGUCAACCAGUCCAAACCCAUUAAACAACAACCUUACAGAGCAAAUGCUAUUAAAUGUGAUCUUUUACAACAGUAAAGAGUAUUCGUUAGAACAUGGGUUAGCCGUGCCAAGCAGCAGUCCAUGGAUCUGGCCUUGAUUAAUUGAGAAGAAGCCAGAUGGCUCUUCUCCAUUCAUAACCGUUUACUGAAAAGUAAACUCGGUUACAGUACCUGAUGCAUACCCGUUGCCCAGAGUGGAUGACUGUAUUGAUAGAAUAGGAGAUGCCUCAUUCAUAACAAAAAUAAAUUUAUUGAAAGGUUACUGGCAGGUCCACUUAACUGCUGCUGCAUCUGAUAUCUCUGCUUUUGUUACUCCAGACACGUUUCUGCAGCAUACAGUGAUGCCGUUUGGAAUGCGGAAUGCCCAGGCAACAUUCCAGCAAAUGAUGAACUCUGUAACUUCCGGUUUAUCACACUGUACCAUUUACCUUGAUGAUAUUGUGGUUCACACAUCAACCUGGGAGGACCACAUUGGUGAUCUACGUGCCCCUUUUCAGUGUUUAGCUGAUGCUCAACUCUCCAUCAACCUUGCCAAAAGCGAGUUCGUCAAAGCUACAGUCACGUAUUUUGGCAAAGAAGUUGGACAUGGGCAGGUUUGAAUAUUGCGGGAUAAAAUUCAGUCUGUCACAGAGUUCCCUAGGCCGAAAACGCAUAGGGAAUUGAAAUGAUUCAUUGAGAUGGUCGGCUACUACAGGUGUUUCUGUAAAAACUUUGCCAGUGUAGUUUCUCCACUAACCAAUCUUUUGAGUCCUAAGGUACCAUUUACUUGGGAUGAAACCACACAGAAAGCGUUUGACACCUGUAAGCUUUUACUCAGCAGUGACCCCGUUUUAAAGGCCCCUAGCUUGACUAGGUCUUUUAAAUUAGAAACAGAUACAAGUGAUGUAGAAGUUGGAGCCGUACUUCUACAAGAGGACGACGUGGGGAUUGACCAUCCCGUUGCCUACUAUUGAAAGAAGUUUACUACACAUCAAAUGCAUUAUUCCACGGUUGAAAAGGAAACUUUAGCCCCAUUGCUUGCCUUACAACAGUUUGAUGUGUAUGUUGGCUCUGGUGACGGGCCACUGGUUGUUUACACUGACCAUAACCCUGUAGUUUUUCUCUCCAGAAUGUUUAACAAGAACCAGAGGUUGAUGAGAUGGGCCCUCAUGCUCCAGGACUAUGACCUUGACAUCCGGCACAAGAAAGGAGUCAACAAUGUGGUUGCGGAUUGCCUGUCUCGUGGUUUUAGCUCGUAGUAGGAAAAUUACCAGGUUUCAGAGGUAUGCCCCCCUUUGGGUAUGUCCUGCUUAUUGUUUUUAUAGUGCUGUGUCAGACGGGUAAGUGAUGGUGUUUCACCAUCUCGGGAGCAACCCAGGAAGAAAAGGGGUUGGCUUGGCCGCUCUUUUCCUUUGCUGGUUUAAAUGUUGUUAUAAACAUGUGCUUAAUCUGCCCACCUGCAAGACAGAUGAAGACUAGAUUUAGUUAGCUAGUUUGUUCAGGCAGUUAGUGGGAACUCAUCUGUUUCAAUUACAGUAAAUGGUUUUUGGUUGUUUUCCUCCCUGGUCCUGUAUUGAUGGGCCCCAGGUCUUUUGUUUUAUUAAGGAAGCAAGUGAUUUUAAUACCUUUCUUUCUUAAAAUUCUUAGGGGGACGCUGUGGUGACCCUCGUCCCUUCGGUCCUCACCGUCAUGUUUUUAUCUGCGCCCUGGCCUCAUCAUUACUGAGCACUCAGCACCAGGGACAGUCCUGGAGCGGCUCACCCUCGCUCUGUGGAAAUUCAGGACCCUGGAGAGAGGCACGCCAGCAGCAAGAGCAGCUGAUCCAAAUCAACCAUCAUGCAGACCUAAGGACUUUACUAAAAGCAGAGGACAGCUUUCAUUCGGGCAGAUCCAGAGUUAGUCUGCGAUUCUCCUGAGCCGGUGUAUUAGUUGAAGCUACUGUGGUUUUGUGCUUGUCUUGGAGCUAUUUAGAGAACAGUCAUUGUUCCUGCCUGACCUGGUUAAGGUGUUAAAUAGAGUUGAAAACUCUGGUUUUUGGUGUUUCUCCCCAAAGGACCUGUAAGCUGGGGAUUUAUGUUUUAGGGGUUUUAACUAUUCGGCCGUAAGCCGUUUCGUAAGCUAUUUUUAGCUUACGUUUUCAGUUAUACACCUUUAUUGCACCGUUCUCUGUUUUUGCCUAAUCUUGCCUAAUUUUUGCCUUCAAGAGAAGAACUCCCUUUGUUAAUAAAUCGUUGUACUUUUUACUCAUCACCUCGUUACUUGCACCGUUGCACCUAUUUUCACUGUGUUUGUCCCUUCAUCGUCCUGGAUGGUCAGGAGGGGACAUAACAAAAAAAUAGAAUGCAGCUAGCAAGCAAGCUAGCUGGAGAUAUAGUGGUUGAGAGACAGAUAUAUAAAGAGAUAGAGAUGAAAAGAUAGAGAAAGGUAG